AACGAACGCUGGCGGCAUGCCUAACACAUGCAAGUCGAACGAGACCUUCGGGUCUAGUGGCGCACGGGUGCGUAACGCGUGGGAACCUGCCCUUAGGUUCGGAAUAACUCCCCGAAAGGGGUGCUAAUACCGGAUAAUGUCUUCGGACCACAGAUUUAUCGCCUUUGGGUGGGCCCGCGUUGGAUUAGCUAGUUGGUAGGGUAAAAGCCUACCAAGGCGACGCUCCAUAGCUGGUCUGAGAGGAUGAUCAGCCACACUGGGACUGAGACACGGCCCAGACUCCUACGGGAGGCAGCAGUGGGGAAUAUUGGAAAAUGGGCGAAAGCCUGAUCCAGCAAUGCCGCGUGAGUGAUGAAGGCCUGAGGGUUGUAAAGCUCUUUUACCCGGGAUGAUAAUGACAGUACCGGGAGAAUAAGCUCCGGCUAACUCCGUG
rnacentral:rRNA from 1 species